rnacentral:rRNA from 1 species
GACGAACGCUGGCGGCGUGCUUAACACAUGCAAGUCGAACGGAAAGGCCUUUUUCGGGGGGUACUCGAGUGGGCAACGGGCGAGUAACUCGUGAGUAACUUGCCCUUGACUUUGGGAUAACUUAAGGCAACUGGGGCCAAUCCCGGAUAGGAGCUCCUGCUGCAUGGUGGGGGUUGGAAAGCUUCGGCGGUUGUGGAUGGACUCGCGGCUUAUUAGCUUGUUGGUGGGGUAGUGGCUGACCAAGGCUUUGACGGGUAACCGGCCCGGGAGGGUGACCGGCCACAAUGGGACUGAGAGACGGCGCAGACGCCUACGGGAGGCAGCAGUGGGGAAUAUUGCACAAUGAGUCGAAGCCUGAUGCAGCGACGCCGGGGUCGUAAUGACGGCCUGCGGGGUAUAAACCGCUGUCGCCUGUGACGAAGCGGGAGUGACGGUAAUGAAUAAAGAAGCACCGGCUAACUACGUG